AACAACGUCAAUACUUAAGCAGUAAAACACUGAUCUCAUUACACAGAUACCUGAAGGACAAAGAGCUCUGCAGCAGAGAGGAAGUGCAGUCCUUCACCGACGCCCCAUUGGAUCAAGUUAAGGAGAUCUGCAGUAAACAUGGCCAGUAUGUGUCUGGUAACUUGUGACUUUGACGAGUUAACGAGCUCCAAAACUCUAAUUUUUUUCUCUUAUUCCAGACAAGUUGAACAUCAUCCUCCUGAUCACCGUCACAUUCACCCUUGCCCUUGUUCGUGGGAAGAAUUCCAAACCUUGUCUGAAGGGUAAAGACACAGGCUUUAUGAAGAAACACAUCAUUCCGAUGGACUUUGGAGAGGACAAGGCUCAGUGGAGCAAUUCCAGGACUUCAAAACAAUAUGACGUACAAUACAAUAGGAAUAGGAUCGAGGAAGAACAAGCCCAAAAAACGAGCAGCCGGCGACUACCAAUAUUUAUAAGCGACUUCACAGAAAAACAAGCCCAAAGUCGCUUAUAAUAAGCGGACUUGGCAACUGUGACUACCACUGCGACAGAAAAAACUGCUGUUUUCACUAGUUCAACCGCAGGAGCAUGUAACACUGUGACAGCUAAAAGUUUGACUGAAACAACGUCAAUACUUAAGCAGUAAAACACUGAUCUCAUUCCACAGAUACCUGGGGGACAACAGUCUCUGUGGCAGAGUUCCAGUUCAGUCCUUCAUCUACAACACAGUGGAUGAAGUUAAGGAGAUCUGCAGUCCAAAGGGCGAACAUGUGUCUGAAAACUUGUGCAGGAGCAGAUCAAAGAUGACUGUAUAUGAUGUUGAAUCCAUAGAGGAUUGCACUGUCAAAAAAGUAACAACUAAGAAUCAUGAAGUGGUUGUAGCAUGUGAUAAAGUUGGAAAUAAAUGCCUCCCUGUCCAUUAUCAGGCAAAGAUUAAUGUCAUUCCGAAAGGUGACCCCUGCAUUAAAUAAUUAGAGGGAUGGUUCUCCCUUGUUUGCAGCUGUCAGGCUAAUUAUUCCCUGACAUCUAAAGCUUCUAUCAAGCUUCGCUAAAUGAAUGAUUUUUGCUUAUAAGAAUAUAAAAGAAUAUUGACGUUCCUUCUUGUUCUUCAGUCACUACACAUUCUGUCGGAUACAAUCAACAAAGAGACAACUAUGAAUUGAAUUUUAAACAUCAUGUACUGGGAUGAGGUUUCCUUUUUUUAAAAGCUGCAAUAUGUGAGAAUUAUAGUCUAAAACAUUGAAAUAGAUGAAGAAGAGCUAAAGUUUUGACAUUGUGUCAAAGACGUCUCUGUAUUGUGUUGAAGAGACAUCCACUGAAGUUAGCAUGCUAACCAGCUAACCCAGAUCAGAAAACAGUCAAAAGCUCUUGUGCUAACAGAGCUAACAAGCUAACAGUAGCUACGGUUGUGACUGUAUUAAAAGAACACAGGUAGCAGCAAUUAGCAAUUUCUUCUGGUGAUGUGCUGCCCCCUAUUGGUUGUUCAUGUGAAUUCAAAGGGGCCCACUUUUAAUAUUGCACCUUUAAGCUGAAGCUAAUUUACACCUUGUUAAAACAUGUACGCUUGGCUCAAAAUGUUUGUUUGAAACUGUAUUGAAAUCCUGCUUGUUUUGCUUUGUAUGCAAUGAUAAUGAUGCCUUAAAGCUAAUCAAUCUUUAAAAUUUGAAAGAAAAUGUUGUUCCUGUUUGUCACAUGUGUGAUAAGAAAAUGUCUAUUAACAAACAUAUUUUGUGAUUCACAUGUUUCUCUACAUGUGUCUCUGAGUUGCUGUUUUUUCCUUUAAUGAUAAAAUAAAACAGAGUUUGAC
ensembl:lncRNA